GGGGGCCACAAGUGCUGUAGUCAGAGCCGGCUGUUGCAGCUCUCCCAGCAGAAUUCUAGAAAGUUAAGACAGACACACUCUUUAGGAAGGACAGAGCACAGCUGUGUCCGGAUGGAACCACACAUCCCAUGGUUUUGUCCAGAUGCUGGAGCUGAUUCUGUCUUCAGAAAAAGAGGGCAUUCAAAACAAAAACGAGGUUGCAGUGGAAUGGUCCAAUCACAGCUUACUGCAGCCUCAACCUCCUAGACUCAAGCAAUCCUUCCACCCCAGCCUCCUGAGGAGCUGAGAUCACAAGUGUGUGCCAUUACAUUUUUACAUUGUUUUCUAUGGUAAGAAUUAUGUCAUUCGUUUUUUCUGUUUAUCUAUCACACUAGAUUGUAAGCUUCCUGAGGAUGAGGGCUACGUAUUUCCCUUUAAAAAAAAAACCUCCAGAAAUCAGUUAAAACA
rnacentral:lncRNA from 1 species